GAUGAACGCUGGCGGCGUGCUUAACACAUGCAAGUCGAACGAAGCACUUUGAUUGAUUUCUUCGGAAUGAUUUCAAAGUGACUUAGUGGCGGACGGGUGAGUAACGCGUGGGUAACCUGCCUUGUACAGGGGGAUAACAGUUAGAAAUGACUGCUAAUACCGCAUAACCCGCUAAGGUCGCAUGACCUGGACGGAAAAGAUUUAUCGGUACAAGAUGGACCCGCGUCUGAUUAGCUAGUUGGUGAGGUAACGGCCCACCAAGGCGACGAUCAGUAGCCGGCCUGAGAGGGUGAACGGCCACAUUGGGACUGAGACACGGCCCAAAACUCCUACGGGAGGCAGCAGUGGGGAAUAUUGCACAAUGGGGGGAAACCCUGAUGCAGCAACGCCGCGUGAGUGAAGAAGUAUUUCGGAUUGUAAACUAUUGUCAUCAGGGAAGAGAAAAGGACAGUAACCUGAAGGAGGAAAGCUCCGGCUAAACUACGUG
rnacentral:rRNA from 1 species